ACAGUGUCAGGUGGGCAGUUUGACUGGGGCGGUCGCCUCCUAAAGUGUAACGGAGGCGCCCAAAGGUUCCCUCAGAAUGGUUGGAAAUCAUUCGUAGAGUGCAAAGGCAUAAGGGAGCUUGACUGCGAGACCUACAAGUCGAGCAGGGACGAAAGUCGGGCUUAGUGAUCCGGUGGUUCCGCAUGGAAGGGCCAUCGCUCAACGGAUAAAAGCUACCCCGGGGAUAACAGGCUUAUCUCCCCCAAGAGUCCACAUCGACGGGGAGGUUUGGCACCUCGAUGUCGGCUCAUCGCAUCCUGGGGCUGUAGUCGGUCCCAAGGGUUGGGCUGUUCGCCCAUUAAAGCGGUACGCGAGCUGGGUUCAGAACGUCGUGAGACAGUUCGGUCCCUAUCCGUCGUGGGCGUAGGAAAUUUGAGAGGAGCUGUCCUUAGUACGAGAGGACCGGGAUGGACGCACCGCUGGUGUACCAGUUGUUCUGCCAAGGGCAUAGCUGGGUAGCUAUGUGCGGAAGGGAUAAGUGCUGAAAGCAUCUAAGCAUGAAGCCCCCCUCAAGAUGAGAUUUCCCAUAGCGUAAGCUAGUAAGAUCCCUGAAAGAUGAUCAGGUUGAUAGGUUCGAGGUGGAAGCAUGGUGACAUGUGGAGCUGACGAAUACUAAUAGAUCGAGGACUUAACCAUAUAA
rnacentral:rRNA from 1 species